AAUAUCAGUUCCGACUCGACUCUCUUUUCCUCUUUCUUUUUCUAGGGCACUUUAUCUGGUUCCAUUUCUUCUUAAAUCUAUUCAUUAUUUAUUCCCAAAUCCAGCUCAAUCAUCUUCAAUUUUGCCACAUACCCCAUUCAAAAGCUUCAAGCAAACUCAGAUCCGUCUCUCUUUCAUUGAGUAAAUCAAAUUCUCCGAACUGAUCAGGGAAAAGUUGUGGCAACUUAUAUUAUGCACGUUUAUAAUUGUUGGAGCAGAAGUAAAGUAGUGGAACCAGUAACUCAUACUCAUUAAUGAAUCUUGAAGAGGAACAUGAACAUUGUUAAAGGUGUCGCCGACCUUAUACGGAGAACAUCUGGUACCCAACCUGGAGAAUCUGGUGGUCCUUGGUCACAAUCCGAGAGAUUUUCUGUUCCUUCCCCAAGAAUUUGCUUCAGUGAAGCUGGUGACGAGGCAAUUCUAAAUACACUUUGGAAGAGACAUGAAAAUGCAAAUGAUAAGGAAGAAAAGAGAAGGUUGUUUCUUAUCUUUCUCAAGCAGUUCUUGCUCGUAUACGAGAACUGGGAGCCUGUAUAUUCCGGUCACUUAGCAGAAGCUGGUUCAUCUACCUCCGCUAUCCCGGAGUCUUCAUCAGGUUUUCAUGAUACCGUUAUUGGCUGCUCUGCUGGACAUCCUGCUGAGAUCAUACUUGUUUUAACUCAAGAGAUUGCUCAGUUAACUUCCCAUGUUACUGAAUUGAACAGCAGCUCUGCACAGUAUACUAAAGAUCCUCUAGGGGCUUCUCUGAGCUUUAACGUUGUUACAGAGGGGGUACUUGUCUUAGAGGUCUUGACAAUUAUAACUCGCUCAAUGCACAACUGCAGAAUUUUCGGCUACUAUGGAGGGAUACAGAAGCUGACUGCACUAAUGAAGGCUGCUGUUGUCCAACUCAAGACAUUCACGGGUGCUCUUGCUGUCGAUGAAAACUUAACAAGUCUUCAAGUGGAGAAGCCUAAAGUCUUGCAGAAGAUACUUUUAUUCGUCGUGUCAGUGACUUGUACCUUCAUUAAUUUGAAGGCAACUGUAAACAAGGGGGCUCAGUUGUUCACAACGACUGGGGAGUUUUCUCUCCCAAGUGGAGAGGCUUGCUUCACUGAUCUUUCAGGUGAUACAGGGGGCUCUUUGUCGGAGUCAAGAGUUCAUUGGCAUCAAAAGGCAAUCGUAUCGGUGAUGGAAGCAGGUGGCCUUAAUUGGUUAGUAGAACUUUUGCGCGUAAUGAGAAGACUUAGCAUGAAAGAACAGUGGACAGACAUAUCACUCCAGUAUUUGACUUUGAGCACACUUCAAUCUGCACUGUCCGAAAAUCCUAGGGCUCAAAAUCAUUUUAGAAGUAUUGGAGGUCUUGAAGUUCUACUGGAUGGGCUUGGAUUUUCAUCAAACAGCGCAUUGGCAAUAAAAAAUAAUUUGAAUGCUGAUACAGACAGUACUGAGAAUCCAUUUUUGGCAAUCAUCCAGCUUCAAGUUCUCUCUCUGGAAGUCCUACGAGAAGCUGUCUUUGGAAAUUUGAGUAACUUGCAGUUCCUUUGUGAAAUCGGAAGAGUGCAUAAAUUUGCAAAUAGUAUAUGUUCACCUGCUUUCAUGCUUCAAGAGAUCCAACAACAGAGAGUGAAUUCAGUUCAUUCUGAUCUCUGCGCACCUAUUUUGGUUUCUGAGAAGGACGUUAAUGUUAAGACUUCUUCGAUGGAGUCACUAUCAACCUAUUCUUUUGAUUUCGGUUCAUGUCCACAGUAUUGGAAGGAUUAUGCUGUCAAACUGAGCAGAGUACUAUGUUCUUUCCUCCUGGCUCUUGAAGAUAUUAAAUUUCAUCACGUCCAGGCAUCAUCAGUUGGUCGAAGUGCCGUUCCAGUUUCGUCACUCUACUGGGAGCUCUCCAUAAAAUGGAUCAUGAAGGUCCUUCUUACCGUGUUUCCUUGUAUAAAGGCUUGUUCUGAUCAGAAUGAGUUGCCAAGUCAUUUAAGGAUUUUUGUCAACACUCUGCAGCAUUACAUACUCUAUGCAUUUAGAAAAGUUCUAAUUUCCUUGCCAACGCUGCUCGAGGUCUUUCGAGAAGAGGGUAUAUGGGACUUUAUCUUCUCUGAGAAUUUUUUCUAUUUUGGUCCAAACUCAGAAGAAUUUUCUGGAAACUUAAGCCCAUUUGUUGAGGGAGAUCCAAAUUUACUUGAGCCCCCUAGCUUAAAUUCCACAAACAAUCAAAUGAAGGCUAGUGAAGUUCAGAUACUUCAAAUGGAAAUUAUUUCAUUUGUGGAGUUUGCUGCAACAUCCAGUGGAACUAAACAUAACUUGCCGGAGUGUUCUGUUCUGUUGGAUGCCCUUGAGCAAUCUGCAUGUAUUCCUGAGCUUGCCAGGGCUCUUGUGAAGAGUCUGCAUCGUAUAUUACAGCUCACAGUUGAACAAACUAUUGCUUCUUUUCAGACUCUCGAUGCACUUUCUCGGGUGCUAAAAGUUGCCUGCGUUCAAGCCCGUGAAUUCAAAAGGCCUGAGAAUUUUAGCUCUUCUGAUGUCAUCGAGUCCGCUGAAGCAACUAGUUCAUCAGAAGUAUAUCGAACUUGGCUCAAAAGCAUGGAUGCAACCUUGGAGCUUUACACUGCAUUUCUUUCUAUGGCAGAAGAUGCAAAAACACUGGUUUUGCAUACCCCCUCAUGUAUUGAUUGUUUAUUUGAUUUGUUCUGGGAGGAAGGUUUGAGGAAGCUAGUGGUGUCGCACAUUCUUGACCUUAUGAAGCUACCCCCGUCUUCCGAAGAGGAUCAAAUGGCAAAGUUGCGUUUAUGCUCCAAAUAUUUGGAAACAUUUACUUCUAUAAAAGAACGUGAAAAAGACUUUGCAGAGCUAGCGAUAGAUCUGUUAAAUGGUGUGAGAGAUAUGCUUCAGAGUAAUCAAUUGUACUACCAGGCUUUGUUCCGUGAUGGUGAAUGUUUUCUGCAUAUUGUUUCCUUAUUAAAUGGUAAUCUAGAAGAGGAAAGAGGAGAACAACUGGUUUUGAAUGUCCUCCAAACACUGACCUGUUUGGUCAAAAGCAAUGACGCUUCCAAGGGAGCGUUUAGAGCUCUGGUUGGCCAGGGUUACCAGACACUGCAGAGUUUGCUGCUGGAUUUUUGCCAGUGUCGGCCCAGUAAAGGACUUUUAAAUGCCUUACUUGAUAUGCUUGUUGAUGGAAACUUUGACGUCAAAGUUAACUCUGUAAUAAAGAAUGAAGACGUGAUUGUGCUCUUCCUUAGUGUUCUUCAGAAGAGCAGUAACUCAUUGCAGCAUUACGGGCUCGAUGUGCUUCAGCAGCUCCUAAAAGAUUCCAUCUCCAAUAGAGCUUCAUGUGUCAGAGCAGGAAUGCUUAAUUUUCUUCUUGAUUGGUUUUCUCAAGAAGAAUUAGAACAAGUGAUUUUGAAAAUUGCCCAACUAAUUCAGGUCAUUGGUGGGCAUAGCAUAUCUGGAAAGGACAUCCGCAAAGUUUUUGCUCUUCUUCGCGAUGAGAAAAUCGGGUCUAAGCAACAUAACUGCUCCUUGUUGCUGACCAGCAUUAAAUCCAUGCUCAAUGAAAAGGGACCAACUGCUUUUUUUGAUCUGAAUGGAAACGACUCCGGGAUUGUUGUGAAGACACCCUUGCAGUGGCCUCUCAAUAAAGGCUUUUCUUUUUCAUGCUGGGUGAGGGUAGAAAGCUUCCCUAAAUCUGGAACAGUUGGUCUUUUUAGUUUUCUCACAGAGCACGGAAGAGGGUGCUUUGCUGUGCUUGGAAAAGAUAAGCUGGUUUAUGAGUCUUUCAACCAGAAGCGGCAGGGUGUCUCAUUGCCGCUUAGUCUUGUAACAAAGAAAUGGCAUUUCCUUUGCAUUACACACAGCAUUGGAAGAGCAUUUUCUGGGGGAAGCCAACUAAGGGUUUAUGUAGACGGUGUUCUUGUAUCAUCUGAAAAAUGCAGGUAUGCAAAGGUUACUGAUUCUGUGACACACUGUACAAUUGGAACAAGAAUAACUCCAACUCUCGGUGAUGAAGAGAAUUCCCUGGUCUCCGUAGAAGAUUCAUCUCAUUUUCUUGGUCAGAUUGGUCCUAUAUAUAUGUUUAGUGAUGCUAUUUCUCCUGAGCAAAUUCUAGGCAUCUCCUCACUUGGACCAAGUUAUAUGUACUCAUUUCUUGACAAUGAAGUUGCACUUGCUUCUGAUAGCCUGUUGCCUAAUGGACUUCUUGAUGCUAAGGAUGGGCUAGCAUCCAAAAUUAUUUUUGGCCUCAAUGCUCAGGCAAGUGAUGGUAAAACUUUGUUUAACGUUUCACCAAUGCAAGAUCUUGCAUUGGAAAAGAGUUCUUUCCAGGCCUCGGUGAUGGCUGGAACACAAUUAUGUUCUCGUCGGUUGCUGCAACAGAUCAUAUACUGUGUCGGCGGUGUUUCGGUAUUUUUCCCUUUAUUGACUCAGUUUGAUAGAAUGGAAACUUCAGAAACUGGACAACUUGGUGAUACAUUGCUUAGAUCUGUUAUGAGGGAUUGUCUAACUGCUGAAGUUAUUGAGCUCAUAGCUUCUGUUUUGGACGAAAAUCUUGCAAACCAGCAGCAAAUGCAUCUUCUUUCUGGAUUUUCAAUCUUGGGAUUUUUAUUGCAGUCAGUUUCCCCUCUAAAACUUAACUUGGAAACACUAGCAGCACUGAGACGUUUGUACAAUGUUGUUGCAAACUGCGGCAUGUCAGAGCUGCUAGUGAAAGAUGCUAUCUCUAGUAUAUUUCUUAAUCCAUUUAUCUGGGUCUAUGCUACGUAUAAAGUGCAAGUGGAACUGUAUAUGUUCCUAAUCCAGCAAUUUGAUAGUGACCCAAGAUUUCUUACGGGCCUGUGUCAGCUUCCACGCGUCAUUGACAUAUUACGCCAGUUUUAUUGGGAUAAAGCUAGAUCUCGUUCCACUUACGGAAGUAAACCUCUUUUGCAUCCUAUAACAAAAGAAGUGAUUGGUGUGAGACCAUGUCAAGAAGAUAUUCGUAAAAUUCGUCUUCUUCUACUGAGCCUUGGUGAAAUGAGUCUUCGGCAGAAUAUUGCAGCAUCAGAUAUAAAAUCCCUAAUAGCUUUUUUUGCGGCAAGUGAGGAUAUGGCAUGCAUUGAGGAUGUAUUGCAUAUGAUUAUACGGGCUGUUUGUCAGAAGCCGCUGCUAGCAUCAUUCUUGGAACAAGUUAAUUUGCUUGGUGGAUGCCACAUUUUUGUUGAUCUUCUCCGUAGGGAUUUUGAACCAGUCAGGCUGCUUGCACUGAAUUUCUUAGGAAGGCUUUUGGUUGGUCUUCCAUCUGAGAAGAAGGGUCCAAGAUUUUUCAAUUUAGCAGUUGGAAGAUCCAGAUCUCUUUCAGAAAGUCCUAGGAAGAUUGAUAUAAGAUUGCAGCCAAUCUUUUCUGCCAUAUCUGAUAGGCUAUUUGCGUUUCCACUGACUGAUCUUUUGUGUGCCUCCUUAUUUGAUGCUCUUCUUGGUGGCGCUAGCGCUAAACAGGUGUUGCAAAAAUACAGUCAAUCCGAAAAGCAUAGGAGCAAGAGUUCUCAGUUCAUCCUUCCUCAGAUGUUGGUGCUUAUUUUCAGAUUUUUGUCAAGCUGCGAGGAAGUAGCUUCAAGAUUGAAAUUGUUUAAAGAUCUACUUGAUCUUCUUGAUUCAAACCCUUCGAAUAUUGAAGCACUGAUGGAAUAUGGGUGGAAUUCCUGGCUAGCAACAUCAGUUUCUAGGCUAGACACGUUUUUGAAGUACAAAGCAGAGUCACAAAAUCUAUCUGAUGAUAGUAUGACGGAGCAUCAUCUUGCUAGGACCUUAUUCCGUGUUGUUCUUUCCCACUAUGCUCUCUGUGUAAAAGGAGGAUGGCAUCAAAUUGAAGAGACUUUGAAUUUUCUACUCGUGCACUUUGAUCAAGAGGAACUCGUACGUCGGAAAUUUCUGCUCGACAUAUUUGAUGAUCUAACAGGAAAGCUUGUAGAUUUAUCAUCUGAGGACAAUAUUUUGGUCUCACAACCAAGUCGAGACAAUACGCUGUACCUGUUGAGCCUAAUCGAUGAGAUGCUUUUGUUUAAUUUGGAAAUUAAGCUUCCGUAUCCUGGCAGUAGCUCAGAUUUUCCUGCGGACUGCCUAGAACUUGAAAGCCACAAAGAUCUCACUACUCCUUUGUUAGAGUCUGUUUACGACGAUGCCGGUGGCCAAGCUCUUAGAGAUCCAAAGGCUAGCGUGCAAGCUUUGAAUGCAGUCGACACUAUUAGUGAUGACUACUGGGAUUUGUUUGACAAGCUGUGGGUUAUGAUUGGUCAGAUAUUUGGGAAAGGGACUAACAAGAUGUUACCGAAAUCUUCAUCAUCAGUAGGACCAUCUUUUGGACAAAGAGCACGUGGCUUAGUAGAGUCGCUAAACAUUCCUGCAGCUGAAAUGGCUGCGGUUGUUGUAUCAGGUGGUAUUGGCAACGCACUGGGGGGUAAGCCGAACAAAAUUGUUGAUAAGGCUAUGUUACUAAGAGGGGAGAAGUGCCCAAGAAUUGUUUUUCGACUUGUAAUUUUAUAUCUUUGCAAAGCUUGUAUCGAAAGGGCGUCAAAAUGUGGUCAGUUGGUUGUUUCACUUCUUCCGUGUUUUCUGCCUUUUGAUGACGAGCUAAGCAAAAGCAAACUGCAGCAUUUCAUUUGGUCUUUGCUCACUGCCAGAUUACAUUAUGGAAAGUUGGAUGAUGGGGCUCGUUUUCAUGUUAUAUCACACUUGAUCCGGGAAACAGUUAAUUGUGGAAAAUCAAUGCUUGCCACCGGUAUUAUGGGUAAAGAUGAUCCAUCAGAUUCAGGCAGCAAUAUGAAGGAAGCUGGCACCAUACAUGCUUUAAUUCAACAAGACAGAGUCCUUGCAGCGGUAGCUGAUGAGACAAAACACAUUAAGAACUCCAAAGAAGACAGGGUGAAGCAGUUGCAAGAACUGCGUAUUAGGUUGGAGGAAAGUUCUGCUGCAGAGUGCAACCACAAAAAGGUUUUUGAAGAUGAGAUAGAGAGUAGCUUGAGUUUCAUUGUAGCUUCAGAUGAUGGCAGAAGAGCUGCUUUCCAGCUUGCUCAUGAUGAAGACCAGCAAAUUGCUGCGGAAAAAUGGAUCCACAUGUUCCGCACAUUGAUUGAUGAAAGGGGUCCAUGGUCUGCCAAUCCCUUCCCAAAUAGCAUUGUCACACAUUGGAAACUCGACAAGACAGAGGACACCUGGCGACGGAGACCAAAACUAAGGCGGAACUAUUGUUUUGAAGAAAAGUUAUGCAAUCCUCCAUCUCUUACUCCCAGCGGCGAAGCCAGCCAGACCAGUGACCAGAAAACUGGUUUCGCGAGCCAUAUUCCUGACCAAAUGAAGCGCAUUCUCUUGAAGGGAGUACGUAGAAUAACUGAUGAAUUAAGCUCAGAAUCUGAAACUACCGAAUCUGCGGGAGCACAGGCCUCUGUGCCUGAAGAUCCUUCAGAGAACUACCCAGAGCCUUUAAAAGACAGCGUAGUUCAGAAGGAUGGUGGUCAAGAUAGAAAGGAGUCUACCUCUUGUCCACCUGAUGCAGAUGCGAGUGAGGUUCUCAUGUCUAUUUUUUGUGUGCUUGUAACGCCAAAGAGAAAAAUAGCUGGGCAUUUAGCAGUAAUGAGAAAUUUUCUCCAUUUCUUUGGCGAGUUUUUGGUGGAAGGAACCGGAGGGGCAUCUGUUUUCAGUAGCAUUUGCGUUUCAAAAAAUUCAGACUCCAGCAAGGCAGUUCAUCAGGGUGUUCAGAAGGAGAAGUUCCCCAAAUGGCAUGUUAAUCUGGAUAUGGAUCAAGAAAAAGGCCAGACCAGCAAUACCACAGGGGAGGCUUCAAAUAAGAAACAACCAAAGAAAAUCAAACGGCAUAGGAGAUGGAAAGUUAGCAAGAUAAAAUCUGUUCAUUGGACGCGCUAUUUGCUAAGAUACACUGCGAUCGAGAUUUUCUUCAAUGAUUCUUUGUCCCCCAUAUUUUUCAACUUUGCGUCACAAAAAGAUGCCAAAGAUGUUGGAAUGUUUAUUGUGUCCUCAAGAAAUGAAUCCUUGUUCCCCAAAGGAACCUACAGGGAUAGGAGCUGUGCUAUUUCUUUUGUUGAUAGACGUCUAGCGAUUGAAAUGGCAGAAAUUGCACAAGAGAGUUGGAGAAGAAGGGAUAUGACCAACUUCGAAUAUUUGAUGAUACUCAACACACUUGCUGGUAGAUCCUAUAAUGAUUUGACUCAGUAUCCUAUCUUCCCUUGGGUGUUGGCUGAUUAUUCAUCAGAGAAACUUGACUUUAACAAGUCAUCUACCUUUCGGGACCUUUCGAAACCUGUUGGUGCUUUGGAUCUGAAGCGGUUUGAGGUUUUUGAGGAUAGAUACCGGAGCUUUACCGACCCUGAUAUUCCUAGUUUCUAUUAUGGUUCUCAUUAUUCAAGCAUGGGGAUAGUACUCUUUUACCUACUCAGGUUGGAGCCUUUUACAGCUCUGCAUCGUAAUUUGCAGGGUGGGAAAUUUGAUCAUGCAGAUCGCCUUUUCCAAAGCAUUGACAGCACUUACAAGAACUGCCUCACCAAUACAAGUGAUGUGAAAGAGUUAAUUCCCGAAUUCUUUUACAUGCCGGAGUUUCUGGUCAAUUCUAAUAGUUACCAUCUUGGGGUGAAGCAAGACGGAGAACCUUUAGGUGAUGUUUGUCUCCCACCUUGGGCCAAGGGUUCCCCUGAAGAGUUCAUACAGAAAAACCGAGAAGCCCUUGAAAGUGAAUAUGUGAGUUCCAAUCUGCAUCAGUGGAUUGAUUUGAUAUUUGGUUACAAGCAGCGUGGCAAACCUGCAGUUGAGGCAGGGAAUAUCUUUUAUUACUUGACUUAUGAAGGUGCUGUAGACUUGGAACAAAUGGAAGAUGAGUUGCAGCGAUCUGCCAUUGAAGAUCAGAUAGCAAAUUUUGGCCAGACCCCGAUUCAGAUCUUUCGUAAGAGGCAUCCCAGAAGAGGGCCACCAAUUCCUAUUGCUCAUCCCUUAUACUUUGCUCCUGGUUCAAUUAGUUUGACUUCCAUCAUUUCUAAUGUUACGAAUCCACCGUCCCCUGUAUUAUAUAUUGGUACAUUAGAUUCGAACAUAAUCCUUGUGAAUCAAGGGCUCACAAUGUCCGUCAAAAUGUGGUUGACUACCCAACUCCAAGCUGGAGGGAACUUUACUUUUUCAGGGUCUCAGGAACCUUUUUUUGGAAUUGGUUCUGACAUUCUUUCACCUCGUAAAAUUGGUAGUCCACUAGCAGACAAUAUUGUGCUUGGUUCCCAAUGUUUUGCUACAAUGCAAUCUCCAUCUGAAAACUUCCUGAUUUCGUGUGGAAACUGGGAAAAUAGUUUUCAAGUCAUAUCUAUAAAUGACGGAAGAGUGGUGCAGAGUAUUCGCCAGCACAAAGAUGUAGUUAGCUGUAUUGCAGUGACAUCUGAUGGAAGCAUCCUUGCUACUGGAAGUUAUGACACAACAGUGAUGGUGUGGGAGGUUUCUAGAGUCAGAUCUAUAGAGAAGAAAGUCCGACCCACACAAACAGAGAUGCCCAGAAAAGAUUAUGUCAUUGUUGAAUCUCCAUUUCAUAUUCUCUGUGGGCAUGAUGAUGUUAUUACAUGCUUAUUUGUUAGUAUAGAACUUGAUAUAGUUAUCAGUGGGUCAAAAGAUGGAACUUGUGUUUUUCAUACUUUACGGGAGGGAAGAUAUGUACGUUCCCUUCGACAUCCAUCUGGAUGUGCCCUGACAAAGCUUGUUGCAUCUCAGCAUGGACGAAUCGUCUUUUACGCUGAAGAUGAUCUCAGUCUAAACAUGUAUUCAAUUAACGGGAAGCACAUUGCGUCCUCUGAAUCCAACGGCCGCCUUAAUUGUGUUGAGCUCAGCAGUCGUGGUGAGUUCCUGGUUUGUUCUGGGGACCAGGGUCAGAUAGUGGUACGUUUGAUGAGCUCACUUGAUGUGGUUCGAAGGUAUGAUGGAGUUGGGAAGAUAAUAACUGCUUUAAGAGUAACACAGGAAGAAUGCUUCUUAGCUGGGACAAAGGAUGGAACCCUUCUUGUAUAUUCUAUAGAACACCCGCAGCUUCGCAAGGCCAACGUUCCUCGAAACAUGAAAGGCAAAGCUUCUGCAACAUGAUUGUUGCUGUCAGUUGUGAAGUAACUCCAAGACAUCAUUUAACACUUUUGCUGGUAGCCUAGUCUCCCUCCAAGGAGAAAAUACAGCAAAAGAAGGAUGUUGUAGCGUCAUGUUUUGCAGGAACCAUUUUGGAUAACUUGUGAAACUUCAUUCGCUCAACCUACCCAGUGACGGAACAAGAAGGGCAUAACCUAGGACUUGUUGGCAGAAGUACAUAGCUAUUUUGGCGUUUGUAUAUACUUGGUAAAUCAUAAACGGCUUCAGCUUUCUUUUAUAAACACACACUAUAGAGGUUGUCAAGUAUAGUCAACAGCUGCACUUGGCGGCAACAUUCAUAUUCAUCAUCUGUAUGUGUAGAUUGGUGAUGUCAUGUACAUUAGUUAUAUUAUUGAGAGAGUUGAUAAGCAAUAGUCAACACUGAUUAGGUCAUUUUCAACCUUUUCUGAUGACAAGUUUGAAGUCCCCAUCUAAUGUGGUAUCAGGCUUAAAUAAAUUGUUUGUAUCUCUUGAAUUACUAAUCCAAAUAUUAAGAAGGGGAAAAUAAAAUCCUUAUAU